rfam:Brachypodium distachyon strain Bd21 chromosome 2, whole genome shotgun sequence.
UUACUACUCCCUCCGUCCAACAAAAGAUGUCUCAAUUUUGUCGAAAUUUGGAUGUAUCUAGACAUGACUUAGUGUAUAGAUGUAUUCAAAUUUAAUUGAAAUUGAGACAUACUUUGUUGGACGGAGCAAGUAUCAA